GGCCGCCUGGCGAAAUGGCAUCGCGUCUGACUACGAUACCUGCGUAUAAGAACCUUAACGUAAUCAGGAGAUUGCAGGUUCGACCCCUGCGGUGGUCA